ACCAGCUCUAGCCCACCCCCACCCCCCUUUUACUACCAUAGACCAAUCAAAUAAAACAUUCACCAACCUUCUAAAGUAUAGGAGAUAGAAAUUUAAACAUCAGUGGCGCUAUAGAAAUAGUACCGUAAGGGAAAGAUGAAAGAAAAACCCAAAAGUAAUAAAAAGCAAAGCUUACCCCUUGUACCUUUUGCAUAAUGACUUAACUAGUAAUAACUUAGCAAAGAGACCUUAAGUUAAACUACCCGAAACCAGACGAGCUACUUAUGAGCAGUACCUAGGACGAACUCAUCUAUGUGGCAAAAUAGUGAGAAGACUUAUAAGUAGAGGUGAAAAGCCUAACGAGCCUGGUGAUAGCUGGUUGUCCAUGAAAAGAAUCUCAGUUCAACAUUAAAUGAUACUAAAAGCCAUGCCAAGCCUUGACGUACAUUUAACUGUUAGUCUAAAAAGGUACAGCUUUUUAGAUAUGGGUACAACCUUCACUAGAGAGUAAAACCAAACAUACACCAUAGUUGGCCUAAAAGCAGCCAUCAAUUAAGAAAGCGUUCAAGCUCGACAAUAAAACAAUGUUUUAAUUCCAACAUUAGACAAAUCAACUCCUAGCAUGAUUAUUGGACUAAUCUAUAUAAACAUAGAAGCAACACUGUUAAUAUGAGUAACAAGAAAUUUUUCUCCUAGCACGAGCUUAUAUUAGUAACUGAUAAUAUACUAAUAAUUAACAGCAAAUAAAUAAAAUCUAACACUAGACUAUUUAUUAAGACACUGUUAACCCAACACAGGAGUGCAUUAAGGAAAGAUUAAAAAAAGUAAAAGGAACUCGGCAAACACAAACCCCGCCUGUUUACCAAAAACAUCACCUCUAGCAUAACCAAUAUUAGAGCACUGCCUGCCCGGUGACUAAUCGUUAAACGGCCGCGGUAUCCUGACCGUGCAAAGGUAGCAUAAUCACUUGUUCUCUAAUUAAGGACUUGUAUGAACGGCCACACGAGGGUUUUACUGUCUCUUACUUUUAAUCAGUGAAAUUGACCUCCCCGUGAAGAGGCGGGGAUAACAAAAUAAGACGAGAAGACCCUAUGGAGCUUCAAUUAAUCAACCCAAAAAUCACAACCUUAAACCACCAAGGGAUAACAAAAUUUUAUAUGGGCUGACAAUUUCGGUUGGGGUGACCUCGGAGCACAAAAAAUCCUCCGAGUGAUUAAAACUUAGGCUCACUAGCCAAAGUGUAAUAUCACUUAUUGAUCCAAUCUCUUGAUCAACGGAACAAGUUACCCUAGGGAUAACAGCGCAAUCCUAUUCUAGAGUCCAUAUCGACAAUAGGGUUUACGACCUCGAUGUUGGAUCAGGACAUCCUAAUGGUGCAGCCACUAUUAAGGGUUCGUUUGUUCAACGAUUAAAGUCCUACGUGAUCUGAGUUCAGACCGGAGUAAUCCAGGUCGGUUUCUAUCUAUUACGCAUUUCUCCUAGUACGAAAGGACAAGAGAAAUAAGGCCAACUUCAAACAAGCGCCUUCAAAUAAUUAAUGACCUAGUCUCAACUUAAUAACCAAGCGCAAACAAGUAUGCCCAAGACCAGGGCCCU
rnacentral:rRNA from 1 species